UUUCACUCUCAAAUCUCUACUUUCCCUCUUCACCUUUUCUCUUUUUCUUCUGGGUCCUCGAUCUUGCAAGCAAAAGCACGAGCCAAGCUCUGCUACCAGAAAAGGUAACACCAUCACCAUAGUUUCUGUACAUACACAUGUCCCUUUCAAUAUCUUCUUAAUUUUAUCGUUCAUUCGUGUGAUCCUGGGUAUAUUUUUAUCCAUAGAUUUUCUAUGUUUUUAUUCUUGUAGUAAAGUCUUUUUCUUUACUCUUUUUGUUUUCUUUUUUUAAUUGAAAAGAGAUAAGAAGGCAAGUAUAGAAUAGAUGUCGUAGAUGGAACUACUAAUGCUCUGUUUUGUUAAUUUGAACUAGUUGGUAUGAUCCCUGAGUUAAUUCUUCUUCUUCUUUUUAUUAUCAUUUUUUUAUAUGCGACCAAUAUACCUUGGUUAUUUAGCUUCUAAGGUCAUUAUGGUGUACUUUCAAAGUUUCUCCUAUCGAACUCUUUGAAGCAAAUGGGUAAAAGCAAGUUGCUUGAUAUUUUUAACUUUUCGUGGCACUAUGUAUAUUGCUUUCUGCAAAGAAAAUCCAUUUUAUUGGUGUUACGUUAUUUUCUUACUAGGGAAAGAGAAAAUAGCCAUCUAUGCCUUAUCCAUGAUUCUAAAAGCAUCCACUUUUAUCAUUUAUUGGUUUUGAACGUAGAAAACUGAUAAAUUAUUUUCCUUUUGUGGAUUAGACAAUCUUGAAUCACACCUGUUGAUUGUUUUCUGUUAUAGCUUGU
rnacentral:misc_RNA from 1 species